rnacentral:lncRNA from 10 species
GGACCUGCAGGUUACAAGCAGCAGAUCCCACCUUCAGUCCUGGCUCUGACAAGCCCUCCAGAGAAUGGGACAUUUUAGAGACUGAAGAGCAUUAUAAGAGCCGAUGGAGAUCUAUUAGGAUUUUAUAUCUUACUAUGUUUCUCAGCAGUGUAGGGUUUUCUGUAGUGAUGAUGUCCAUAUGGCCAUAUCUCCAAAAGGGAAUUACCAGGCACGGUGGCUCACACCAACAAUCCCAGCACUUUGGGAGGCCAAGGCAGGCAGCUCACCUGAGGUCAGGAGUUAAGAGAUCAGCCUGGCCAACAUGGUGAAACCGCGUCGCUACUAAAAAAAAUAUAAAAAUUAGCUGUGCCCACGUGGUGGCACAUGCCUGUAAUCUCAGCUACUUGGGAGGCUGAGGCAGGAGAAUCGCUUGAACCUGGGAGGUAGAGGUUGUAGUGACCUGAGAUCGCACCAUUGCACCCCAGCCUGGGCAACAAGAUCAAAACUCCGUCUC